UAAUUCAGUACUUUCAUUCAUAUUGGACUUGGUGUACUUGAAGCUCACAAAAGUCAAUUCAACAAAUCCACAUUCAUUAUCCCUAAUAAAAAGUUGGAACAUUAUUGAGGAUAACCAUCUAAUUCUAAACUUCCCAAAAGAUUCCUUCAAAAAGAGAAAAUGGUUGCUGUUGAAAUCCUUGUAAUCGGUCUUACAAGCUCUCUGUGCCUGUACUUUCUCUUAACUCUCAUCCGGGGCCUUCACAAACUAUGGUGGACUCCAAUUCACAUGAGGAAUCAAUUGAGUUCACAGGGAAUCAAAGGUCCUUCCUACAGAUUCUUCCACGGAAGCACCAAAGAAAUUUCCAACAUGAGAAAAGAAGCCAUCAGCAGGCCAAUGAAUUUAUCACAUGACAUAUUUUCCAGAAUUCUGCCUCAUGUUCACUCUUGGGUUGACAAAUAUGGUAAUAAUUAUCUUCAAUGGUUUGGCCCUAAAGCUCAACUGGUUGUUACUGAACCAGAGCUAAUCAAAGAGAUAAUGAACAAUAGAGACAACGCUUAUUCAAAGUCUGAUAACGGAAACUAUGCGAAGAAACUCUUAGGAGAUGGGCUUGUGACUUCUGAAGGUGAAAAAUGGGCAAAGAUGCGGAAACUUGCUAAUUCUGCCUUUCAUGCAGAGAGGCUCAAAAAUAUGAUUCCAUCAAUGAUCAGUAGCGUUGAGGUGAUGCUAGAAAGAUGGAAACAUCAUGAAGGUAAAGAGAUUGAGGUAUCUGAAGAAUUUAGGCUAUUGACUUCAGAAGUUAUUUCAAGGACAGCUUUUGGGAGCAGUUACUUAGAAGGGAAGAACAUUUUUCAGAUGUUGAUGAAAUUAGCCUUGAUAUCAUCCAGAAAUGCUUAUAAACUCAGGUUUCCUGGCAUCACUAAAAUUUAUAAAACUAAUGAUGAUAUUGAAUCGGACGAGCUUGUAAAAGGAAUACACAACGCUAUAUUAGAGAUAAUAAAGAAGAGAGAAGAGAAGGUAAUGACUGGAGAGGCUAACAGCAUUGGGGGUGAUUUUCUUCAACUACUUGUACAGGCUCAUCAUGAUGCCAAUGCUAGCCUAAAGAUUUCAAUAGAAGAUUUGGUGGACGAGUGCAAAACAUUUUACAUUGCAGGUCAAGAAACCACUAGUACUUUGCUUGCGUGGACUAUAUUUCUUCUAGCAAUCCACACAGAUUGGCAAGAAAAAGCAAGAAAGGAGGUGCUCAAUUUAUUUGGCCAACAAAAUCCAAACCUGGAUGGAAUCACAAAACUCAAGACUAUGGGUAUGAUCAUCAAUGAGUCUCUGAGGUUAUAUCCACCCGUAAUUGCAAUAACAAGAAAAGUUGAAAGGGAUGUUAGACUGGGGAAGCUCACUCUUCCAGCUAAUUUAUUACUGUACAUGCCAACUCUUGCACCUCACCAUGACCCCAAAAUAUGGGGAGAAGACGUGCAUCUUUUCAAACCAGAGAGAUUCUUGGAAGGUAUUGCCAAGGCUACUAACAACAACAUAGCUGCUUUUUUUCCCUUUGGAAUUGGGCCUCGAACUUGUGUGGGGUUGAACUUUGCAACAACUGAAGCAAAGAUUGCUCUUUCCAUGAUUCUACAACGCUAUGCCUUCACCCUUUCCCCAGCCUAUGUCCACUCACCAUUUCAGCUUCUUACCAUUCGCCCACAACAUGGAGUUCAAGUGAUGCUACACUCAUUGUAAAGACCAGAACUGGCAGUAAAAUGUGCACAGAAUAUCCAGACAUCAAUGCCUUGUGAUGUAUACCGUAGCCUUUUUAUUUUAGUUGUUUCUGAGCUUAAUUGGGAUUUGGUAGCUUGGAGAGUAAGUGAAAAUCAAUGUGCUACACAAAAAAGCGAAUGACAAUUGAAUUAGUAGAAUCAGUAGAGACAUUGAAUACAGGGGUGACCAAUAUGAAGAUUAUGUUGAUCAUUAGUUAGUGUAACGUAAUGGCAUUUGGAGACUUUUCAGGUAUCUCAAGAUCUAAUACGAUCUGGACUGUUGGUCGCGUGUCUUAAUUAAAGUCAUGACUGUUGUCUUAUAUGCUUGUGCUUAAUUUUAAUUUACUAUGACCCUUUUUUGAUCU